rnacentral:rRNA from 1 species
GCUUACGGCCACACCGCCUGAUUCACGCCCGAUCUCGCUUUGAUCUCGGAAGCUAAGGUAGGUUGGGCCUGGUUAGUACUUGGAUGGGAGACCGCCUGGGAAUACCAGGUGCUGUAAACA